UAGAGCAAUGUAAAGGAUGCACACUACCGUUAAACCUCACAGAAGAAGAAGAAGACUCUUUCCCACCCUUCCCGGAAGUUCGCUUUCCCGACAGCACCACAAUGGCUCCUCCAGUUGCAGUGUCGCCGCUCAUCAAGACGGCCAGGUGGUCUGCCUUGUUUCUUGGCAUGUUCUACGGCAGACAGAGGUUUAACUACCUGAAGCCCAUCGCUGAGGAGGAGAGGAGGGUCGAGGAGGCAGAGAAGAAAGCCAGAGAGGAGCAGGAGCGCAUCUACAAACAGCUGUCUGAAGCAAACUCCGACACCAUUCUCAAGUAAUCUGUCUCUGGACCUGCACUAAUAUGUUCCGACCACAAUAAAUAAAAAAGAACCAACUUAUUUUUCAUGGAA